CUCAGCAAACAUUCACAGAUCUUUCACGGUGUUUUAUUUCCCUAAACGUGGUUCAUCUCCAGCUGAACUCUCUGAUGUCUGAUUUUUCCACUGGAACCCAAACGCCUCUCUGUCUAACUUUCAGUUUCGUUCUUCCGAAGUUGUGGCGCAGUUUACGUCCUCCGGUCCAGCCUCCGUGUGAAGCCUGUAGAGGAGGCGGAGUGAGGAGCUGCUCCAAGCCGUUCAGGGAGGCCUGAGCUCGGCCUGAUAACCGGAAGAGACCCGGUCUGACUGGAUCCAGACAGCAAGAGGUUGUUCUCUAGCCGUCCCCUUAACGUGCUAUCCUGCAGUCAGACUCAGGCCCGGAGUGGAUAAUCGGGAGGAGCGGGACAAUUCCCGGUGGACAGGUCUGAUGUUUGGACCGUGGGGGCUGGUGUUCACCCUUUUAUUUAUUUAUGUAUUUGAGUCGGUGUUCAGUCAUGGCACUGGAUUGAUCAUUACGCUGCUACCGCUGUUCCUGGGCCACCUCCGUCUCCACUGGCAGCUCUUUUUUCUGUUUUUUUCUGUUUUAUUUUUAUUUAUUUUUGCUUGCUGACGCACUCUGACGUAACACGUCCGUGCACACAGUCGGUGGCGUUUGAAAGAUGGAGAAUAGAAAGAGCAAGUUUAAGAAGGCAAGAAUUAAAAAGAAUACAGCUCUGGAAACAGACGCAGACAAAUGUGCUGAAAUUGGAAACUAUUUCUCUAAAACCUGCUCGCGGUUUGAAAUGACAAAUGAGGACGAUAAAACGGAUACAGCAAGAUGUUGAACUUUCUCUGCAAACCACCGUUCAGUUUGAUUAUCAAGUCAAUGAACUGUGCAGCGUUGUGGCAUAUAAUAUAACGUUAUAUAAUUUAGUAUGAUGCGACACCACAUCACUGGGAAACUUUGUCUUGUAGCCCCUCAGAGUCAGAAGAAAGAUCCAGCACCAAGCAGCAGCCAUGAACCACAAGUCUAGAGUGAAUAUUAUUAAAAUUAAUAUUAUGAAGAGUGUGGUGUAGACCUGCUCUAUAUGAGAAGGGCCCUGAGAUGCUAGAUGAUUCAGCACUACACUGGUAAAACUGCCCUGAAAUGAUCAGAAGGAUUUGUAAAAAGGAGAGAUUUGUGCUGAGAAUUAUGAGCAUUUUUAAAAUGUGAUUUAGUGUCAGAAGCAGAGCCAGCAGUGAUGAGAGGAUUACUGCUGUCAGUAUGGAAGGAACAGGUGAGCUGUUAUAACAGUGUGAACUAGCAAGCGCAAGUUCCAAUAUAACUACUUUCUAUGCUCAAACGAUAAUAGUGGCCCAUUUUAUUUUUUCAUCAUUAAACAUGAGCUAGUAAAUACACAAAGCCCACAACUGAAAGGGAAUAAUACCAAAGUAACAUGAAAUAAGCCUGCAUAUUUUUUUAAAGGUAUCUUUAUUGUUUUUUCUAUUAAUACAAGAAAAGUAUAGUACAAAAAAAUGAGAGUACCUGAUAUUACACCAAACAUGGUGAACAAACAUUCCCACACGGUGAAGACAGCAGAAGGAAAAAAAAAAGGAAAAACCCCAAUAAGCAAAAAUGAAUUCAUUGAAGAUAAGUAUGAAGUGUAGAGAUAUGUAAAAAUAAAAUUUAAAAUAAAAUUAAAAAAAAAAAAAAAA